UACAGAGGGUGCAAGCGUUAAUCGGAAUUACUGGGCGUAAAGCGUGCGUAGACGGUCAUGUAAGUCGGGUGUGAAAGCCCCGGGCUCAACCUGGGAAUUGCAUUCGAUACUGGAUCGCUAGAGUUCGGCAGAGGGAAGUGGAAUUUCUGGUGUAGCGGUGAAAUGCGUAGAUAUCAGAAGGAACAUCAGUGGCGAAAGCGACUUCCUGGACCAGAACUGACGAUCAGGCACGAAGAACUGGGGAGCAAACGGG
rnacentral:rRNA from 1 species